AUGAAAGCAGCACAAAUUGUUAUUUGCACCUUCCUUUUGGUGCUUCUGGUUAAUGUUCAAGUGUCAAUGGCAGUAACAUGCAGUCCAGUGCAACUUAGCUCAUGUGUGAGUGCAAUCACUUCUUCAACUCCUCCAUCUAAACUAUGCUGCUCCAAGAUAAAGGAGCAAAGACCUUGCCUUUGCCAAUACCUCAAGAAUCCCAAUCUUAGGAAGUUUGUUAACACUCCUAAUGCAAGGAAAGUUGCUAACACUUGUGGUACUCCCUUCCCAAGCUCUAGUUAA